AACGAACGCUGGCGGCAGGCUUAACACAUGCAAGUCGAACGCAUCCUUCGGGGUGAGUGGCAGACGGGUGAGUAACGCGUGGGAACGUGCCCUUCAGUUCGGGAUAACCCAGGGAAACUUGGGCUAAUACCGGAUACGUGCGAGAGCAGAAAGAUUUAUCGCUGAAGGAUCGGCCCGCGUCUGAUUAGCUAGUUGGUGGGGUAAUGGCCCACCAAGGCGACGAUCAGUAGCUGGUCGGAGAGGAUGAUCAGCCACAUUGGGACUCAGACAAGGCACAAGCUCCUACGGGAAGCAGCAGUGGGGAAUAUUGGACAAUGGGGGCAGGCGUGAUCCAGCCCUGCAGCGUGAGUGAUGAAGGCCUUAGGGUUGUAAAGCUCUGUCGUCCGGGACGAUAAUGACGGUACCGGAAGAAGAAGCCCCGGCUAACUUCGUGCCAGCAGCCGCGGUAA
rnacentral:rRNA from 1 species